GUGGGGAAUUUUGGACAAUGGGCGAAAGCCUGAUCCAGCCAUACCGCGUGCGGGAAGAAGGCCUUCGGGUUGUAAACCGCUUUUGUCAGGGAAGAAAUGCUUCGGGCUAAUACCCUGGGGUGAUGACGGUACCUGAAGAAUAAGCACCGGCUAACUACGUGCCAGCAGCCGCGGUAAUACGUAGGGUGCAAGCGUUAAUCGGAAUUACUGGGCGUAAAGCGUGCGCAGGCGGUUCUAUAAGACAGAUGUGAAAUCCCCGGGCUCAACCUGGGAACUGCAUUUGUGACUGUAGAGCUAGAGUACGGUAGAGGGGGAUGGAAUUCCGCGUGUAGCAGUGAAAUGCGUAGAUAUGCGGAGGAACACCGAUGGCGAAGGCAAUCCCCUGGACCUGUACUGACGCUCAUGCACGAAAGCGUGGGGAGCAAACAGGAUUAGAAACCCCAGUAGUCC
rnacentral:rRNA from 1 species